rnacentral:rRNA from 1 species
AUUGAACGCUGGCGGCAGGCCUAACACAUGCAAGUCGAGCGGCAGCGGGAAAGUAGCUUGCUACUUUUGCCGGCGAGCGGCGGACGGGUGAGUAAUGCCUGGGAAAUUGCCCAGUCGAGGGGGGUAACAGUUGGAAACGACUGCUAAUACCGCAUACGCCCUACGGGGGAAAGCAGGGGACCUUCUGGCCUUGCGCGAUUGGAUAUGCCCAGGUGGGAUUAGCUAGUUGGUGAGGUAAUGGCUCACCAAGGCGACGAUCCCUAGCUGGUCUGAGAGGAUGAUCAGCCACACUGGAACUGAGACACGGUCCAGACUCCUACGGGAGGCAGCAGUGGGGAAUAUUGCACAAUGGGGGAAACCCUGAUGCAGCCAUGCCGCGUGUGUGAAGAAGGCCUUCGGGUUGUAAAGCACUUUCAGCGAGGAGGAAAGGUCAGUAGCUAAUACCUGCUGACUGUGACGUUACUCGCAGAAGAAGCACCGGCUAACUCCGUGCCAGCAGCCGCCGUAAUAC